UACGAAGGGGGCUAGCGUUGUUCGGAAUCACUGGGCGUAAAGCGUACGUAGGCGGAUCGUUAAGUCAGGGGUAAAAGCCUGGAGCUCAACUCCAGAACUGCCUUUGAUACUGGCGAUCUUGAGACCGGGAGAGGUGAGUGGAACUGCUAGUGUAGAGGUGAAAUUCGCAGAUAUCGGGAAGAACACCCGUGGCGAAGGCGGUUCUCUGGGACGGUACUGACGCUGAGACGCGAAAGCGUGGGGAGCAAACAGG
rnacentral:rRNA from 1 species